rnacentral:lncRNA from 1 species
CGGGUAUGAGUAAAAAUAUUGGCUAUCCAAAAAUUUACGGAUAAAUUUUACCCAUGCCCAAAUAACCCGCAGGUACAAUGACCCGCCCACGAGUUACCCAAUCUAUUCGUUUGCCAGGGCUAAGUACAAGAUAGAAUAAUGCUACUUAUGCAUUCAAAAAUAAAAAUAAAUCUUACACCACAUUCUUUCAUAUGCCAAUACUUUCACACUAAUUUUUUUAAUAUUAAAAAUCAUAAAAUAGAAUAUAAACCUCAAAAUAGAUGGGUGUAAUAUUUACAUUCUA